GGUUGCGGACAGUGUCUGGUGGGUAGUUUGACUGGGGCGGUCUCCUCCUAAAGAGUAACGGAGGAGCACGAAGGUUGGCUAAUCCUGGUCGGACAUCAGGAGGUUAGUGCAAUGGCAUAAGCCAGCUUGACUGCGAGCGUGACGGCGCGAGCAGGUGCGAAAGCAGGUCAUAGUGAUCCGGUGGUUCUGAAUGGAAGGGCCAUCGCUCAACGGAUAAAAGGUACUCCGGGGAUAACAGGCUGAUACCGCCCAAGAGUUCAUAUCGACGGCGGUGUUUGGCACCUCGAUGUCGGCUCAUCACAUCCUGGGGCUGAAGUAGGUCCCAAGGGUAUGGCUGUUCGCCAUUUAAAGUGGUACGCGAGCUGGGUUUAGAACGUCGUGAGACAGUUCGGUCCCUAUCUGCCGUGGGCGCUGGAGAACUGAGGGGGGCUGCUCCUAGUACGAGAGGACCGGAGUGGACGCAUCACUGGUGUUCGGGUUGUCAUGCCAAUGGCACUGCCCGGUAGCUAAAUGCGGAAGAGAUAAGUGCUGAAAGCAUCUAAGCACGAAACUUGCCCCGAGAUGAGU
rnacentral:rRNA from 1 species